rnacentral:rRNA from 1 species
AGCGAACGCUGGCGGCAGGCUUAACACAUGCCAGUCGAACGGGCACUUCGGUGCUAGUGGCAGACGGGUGAGUAACACGUGGGAACGUACCUUUCGGUUCGGAAUAAUCCAGGGAAACUUGGACUAAUACCGGAUACGCCCUUCGGGGGAAAGAUUCAUCGCCGAUAGAUCGGCCCGCGUCUGAUUAGCUAGUUGGUGAGGUAAUGGCUCACCAAGGCGACGAUCAGUAGCUGGUCUGAGAGGAUGAUCAGCCACAUUGGGACUGAGACACGGCCCAAACUCCUACGGGAGGCAGCAGUGGGGAAUAUUGGACAAUGGGCGCAAGCCUGAUCCAGCCAUGCCGCGUGAGUGAUGAAGGCCUUAGGGUUGUAAAGCUCUUUUGUCCGGGAAGAUAAUGACUGUACCGGAAGAAUAAGCCCCGGCUAACUUCGUG